ensembl:snRNA
UGCAUAUAUGAAAGGAGAGAAAGGUAGCCACUCCUCAACAAGCACAAACAAAGCCCAUGGGCCUGAAAACAAACAUAUAAUUAUGGUAUUUUUAUGUACUAUGUGGAAUCUAACCAUUUUUCU